rnacentral:tRNA from 5 species
GGGGCCUUAGCUCAGCUGGGAGAGCACCUGCUUUGCAAGCAGGGGGUCACCGGUUCGAUCCCGGUAGGCUCCACCA